UCAAACUUGGUCAUUUAGAGGAAGUAAAAGUCGUAACAAGGUUUCCGUAGGUGAACCUGCGGAAGGAUCAUUAACGAAUUGGUUUGGGUUGUGCUGGCCGGCAACGGUAAUGUGCACGCCCUACUUCAUCCAAUACACCUGUGCACCUUUGACCCCGGUAGCGUUGAAAGACGCGAAAGGGUAUUUUUACACACUCUUGUAAAGUAUGUGAUAACUUGCAGACGCUUGCGUCAAACUAUAUACAACUUUCAACAACGGAUCUCUUGGCUCUCGCAUCGAUGAAGAACGCAGC
rnacentral:misc_RNA from 1 species